rnacentral:rRNA from 1 species
GUAAGGACCGAGCGUUGUCCGGAAUCAUUGGGCGUAAAGGGUACGUAGGCGGUUAGAAAAGUUAGAAGUGAAAGGCUAUAGCCCAACUAUAGUAAGCUUUUAAAACUGUUUAACUUGAGAGAUGGAAGGGAAAGUGGAAUUCCUAGUGUAGCGGUGAAAUGCGCAGAUAUUAGGAGGAAUACCGGUGGCGAAGGCGACUUUCUGGCCGUUAUCUGACGCUGAGGUACGAAAGCGUGGGUAGCAAACAGGAUUAGAUACCCUGGUAGUCCACGCCGUAAACGAUGAGUGUUAGGUGUCUGGUUUAAACUGGGUGCCGCAGCUAACGCAAUAAACACUCCGCCUGGGGAGUACGCACGCAAGUGUGAAACUCAAAGGAAUUGACGGGGACCCGCACAAGCAGCGGAGCAUGUGGUUUAAUUCGAAGCAACGCGAAGAACCUUACCAGGUCUUGACAUAUUUUGGAAGCACUUAGAGAUAAGUGCCUAUAUCUUCGGAUAACUGAAAUACAGGUGGUGCAUGGUUGUCGUCAGCUCGUGUCGUGAGAUGUUGGGUUAAGUCCCAUAACGAGCGCAACCCCUAUGGCUAGUUACCAUCAUUAAGUUGGGGACUCUAGCAAUACUGCCGGUGACAAACCGGAGGAAGGUGGGGAUGACGUCAAAUCAUCAUGCCCUAUAUGACUUGGGCUACACACGUGCUACAAUGGCAGGUACAGAGGGCAGCGAGACGGUGACGUCAAGCGAACCUCAAAAAGCCUGUCCCAGUUCGGAUUGCACUCUGCAACUCGAGUGCAUGAAGUUGGAGUUGCUAGUAAUCGCAGAUCAGAAUGCUGCGGUGAAUGCGUUCCCGGGUCUUGUAUACACCGCCCGUCACACCAUGGAAGUUGGCAAUACCCGAAGCCUGUAAGCGAACC